rnacentral:rRNA from 1 species
GAUGAACGCUGGCGGCGUGCCUAAUACAUGCAAGUCGAGCGAACAGACGAGGAGCUUGCUCCUCUGACGUUAGCGGCGGACGGGUGAGUAACACGUGUAUAACCUACCUAUAAGACUGGGAUCACUUCGGGAAACCGGAGCUAAUACCGGAUAAUAUAUUGAACCGCAUGGUUCAAUAGUGAAAGACGGUUUUGCUGUCACUUAUAGAUGGAUCCGCGCCGCAUUAGCUAGUUGGUAAGGUAACGGCUUACCAAGGCAACGAUGCGUAGCCGACCUGAGAGGGUGAUCGGCCACACUGGAACUGAGACACGGUCCAGACUCCUACGGGAGGCAGCAGUAGGGAAUCUUCCGCAAUGGGCGAAAGCCUGACGGAGCAACGCCGCGUGAGUGAUGAAGGUCUUCGGAUCGUAAAACUCUGUUAUUAGGGAAGAAGAAAUGUGUAAGUAAAUAUGCACGUCUUGACGGUACCUAAUCAGAAAGCCACGGCUAACUACGUG